rnacentral:rRNA from 1 species
AAAACUCUAAGCGGUGGAUCACUCGGCUCAUGGGUCGAUGAAGAACGCAGCAAACUGUGCGUCAUCGUGUGAACUGCAGGACACAUGAACAUCGACAUUUUGAACGCAUAUCGCAGUCCAUGCUGUUAUGUACUUUAAUUAAUUUUAUAGUGCUGCUUGGACUACAUAUGGUUGAGGGUUGUAAGACUAUGCUAAUUAAGUUGCUUAUAAAUUUUUAUAAGCAUAUGGUAUAUUAUUGGAUAAAUAUAAUAAUUUUUAUUCAUAAUAUUAAAAAAUAAAUGAAAAACAUUAUCUCACAUUUGAAUGUGAAAAACGAAGAGAAAUAUUUUCUUUUUCAAUCAAAUAAUACUGAGAAAUGUCUAGCAUAAAAAAUUGAAAUAUUUUUCAUCUAGAAUUGUCUCUUAUUAAUGAUUCGGAAAUAGAAAAAUCUUGGUUAUGUUAUUAUUCUUCGUUGGUUCGUUAAAAAUGGAUAAAUAAAAACUUUGCAUACAAGAAUUAAUAAAAAUGUUAUAACGAAUUUAAUUAAAUGUUUUAUCAUUAUAUAUAAAGAAUUUAUGGCAAGAUAAAGUUAUAUACAACCUCAACUCAUAUGGGACUACCCCCUGAAUUUAAGCAUAUUAAUUAGGGGAGGAAAAGAAACUAACAAGGAUUUUCUUAGUAGCGGCGAGCGAAAAGAAAACAGUUCAGCACUAAGUCACUUUGUCUAUAUGGCAAAUGUGAGAUGCAGUGUAUGGAGCGUCAAUAUUCUAGUAUGAGAAAUUAACGAUUUAAGUCCUUCUUAAAUGAGGCCAUUUACCCAUAGAGGGUGCCAGGCCCGUAUAACGUUAAUGAUUACUAGAUGAUGUUUCCAAAGAGUCGUGUUGCUUGAUAGUGCAGCACUAAGUGGGUGGUAAACUCCAUCUAAAACUAAAUAUAACCAUGAGACCGAUAGUAAACAAGUACCGUGAGGGAAAGUUGAAAAGAACUCUGAAUAGAGAGUUAAACAGUACGUGAAACUGCUUAGAGGUUAAGCCCGAUGAACCUGAAUAUCCGUUAUGGAAAAUUCAUCAUUAAAAUUGUAAUAUUUAAAUAAUAUUAUGAGAAUAGUGUGCAUUUUUUCCAUAUAAGGACAUUGUAAUCUAUUAGCAUAUACCAAAUUUAUCAUAAAAUAUAACUUAUAGUUUAUUCCAAUUAAAUUGCUUGCAUUUUAACACAGAAUAAAUGUUAUUAAUUUGAUAAAGUGCUGAUAGAUUUAUAUGAUUACAGUGCGUUAAUUUUUCGGAAUUAUAUAAUGGCAUAAUUAUCAUUGAUUUUUGUGUUUAUUAUAUGCACUUGUAUGAUUAACAAUGCGAAAGAUUCAGGAUACCUUCGGGACCCGUCUUGAAACACGGACCAAGGAGUCUAACAUAUGUGCAAGUUAUUGGGAUAUAAACCUAAUAGCGUAAUUAACUUGACUAAUAAUGGGAUUAGUUUUUUAGCUAUUUAUAGCUAAUUAACACAAUCCCGGGGCGUUCUAUAUAGUUAUGUAUAAUGUAUAUUUAUAUUAUUUAUGCCUCUAACUGGAACGUACCUUGAGCAUAUAUGCUGUGACCCGAAAGAUGGUGAACUAUACUUGAUCAGGUUGAAGUCAGGGGAAACCCUGAUGGAAGACCGAAACAGUUCUGACGUGCAAAUCGAUUGUCAGAAUUGAGUAUAGGGGCGAAAGACCAAUCGAACCAUCUAGUAGCUGGUUCCUUCCGAAGUUUCCCUCAGGAUAGCUGGUGCAUUUUAAUAUUAUAUAAAAUAAUCUUAUCUGGUAAAGCGAAUGAUUAGAGGCCUUAGGGUCGAAACGAUCUUAACCUAUUCUCAAACUUUAAAUGGGUAAGAACCUUAACUUUCUUGAUAUGAAGUUCAAGGUUAUGAUAUAAUGUGCCCAGUGGGCCACUUUUGGUAAGCAGAACUGGCGCUGUGGGAUGAACCAAACGUAAUGUUACGGUGCCCAAAUUAACAACUCAUGCAGAUACCAUGAAAGGCGUUGGUUGCUUAAAACAGCAGGACGGUGAUCAUGGAAGUCGAAAUCCGCUAAGGAGUGUGUAACAACUCACCUGCCGAAGCAACUAGCCCUUAAAAUGGAUGGCGCUUAAGUUGUAUACCUAUACAUUACCGCUAAAGUAGAUGAUUUAUAUUACUUGUGAUAUAAAUUUUGAAACUUUAGUGAGUAGGAAGGUACAAUGGUAUGCGUAGAAGUGUUUGGCGUAAGCCUGCAUGGAGCUGCCAUUGGUACAGAUCUUGGUGGUAGUAGCAAAUAAUCGAAUGAGACCUUGGAGGACUGAAGUGGAGAAGGGUUUCGUGUGAACAGUGGUUGAUCACGAGUUAGUCGGUCCUAAGUUCAAGGCGAAAGCCGAAAAUUUUCAAGUAAAACAAAAAUGCCUAACUAUAUAAACAAAGCGAAUUAUAAUACACUUGAAUAAUUUUGAACGAAAGGGAAUACGGUUCCAAUUCCGUAACCUGUUGAGUAUCCGUUUGUUAUUAAAUAUGGGCCUCGUGCUCAUCCUGGCAACAGGAACGACCAUAAAGAAGCCGUCGAGAGAUAUCGGAAGAGUUUUCUUUUCUGUUUUAUAGCCGUACUACCAUGGAAGUCUUUCGCAGAGAGAUAUGGUAGAUGGGCUAGAAGAGCAUGACAUAUACUGUUGUGUCGAUAUUUUCUCCUCGGACCUUGAAAAUUUAUGGUGGGGACACGCAAACUUCUCAACAGGCCGUACCAAUAUCCGCAGCUGGUCUCCAAGGUGAAGAGUCUCUAGUCGAUAGAAUAAUGUAGGUAAGGGAAGUCGGCAAAUUAGAUCCGUAACUUCGGGAUAAGGAUUGGCUCUGAAGAUUGAGAUAGUCGGGCUUGAUUGGGAAACAAUAACAUGGUUUAUGUGCUCGUUCUGGGUAAAUAGAGUUUCUAGCAUUUAUGUUAGUUACUUGUUCCCCGGAUAGUUUAGUUACGUAGCCAAUUGUGGAACUUUCUUGCUAAAAUUUUUAAGAAUACUAUUUGGGUUAAACCAAUUAGUUCUUAUUAAUUAUAACGAUUAUCAAUUAACAAUCAAUUCAGAACUGGCACGGACUUGGGGAAUCCGACUGUCUAAUUAAAACAAAGCAUUGUGAUGGCCCUAGCGGGUGUUGACACAAUGUGAUUUCUGCCCAGUGCUCUGAAUGUCAAAGUGAAGAAAUUCAAGUAAGCCUUUGUCUCCUAUUCUAUUUAACUUGUAAUGGACAGGUUACUUAGAACCUUACCCAGCGAAAUUGGUGCCAAAGUCGGAAAUGCCAUUACUAACGCGGCCGCGUUUGCAGAUGAUUUGGUACUAUUUGCGGAAACUCGGAUGGGGCUUCAAGUAUUGUUGGACAAGACGUUGGAUUUUCUAUCUAUCGUCGGCCUCAAACUUAAUGCCGACAAAUGUUUUACCGUGGCAUUAAGGGCCACCGAAACAGAAGUGUACCGUGUUAGAGGCACAGAGCUUCUACGUAGGCUCGAGUGAGAUUCCAUCACUGAAGCGCACGGACGAGUGGAAGUACUUAGGCAUCAACUUCACUGCAACCGGAGGGUUCGAUGCAAUCCGGCCGAGGACAUUGGUCCAAAGCUACAAAGAUUGACAAAGGCCCCCUCAAACCACAACAGAGGUUGUUCGCCCUUCGGACUGUCCUUAUCCCACAGCUCUACCACAAGUUAGCCCUUGGGAGUGUGGCGAUAGGCGUCCUAAGAAAAACUGAUAAACUUAUAAGAUAUUAUGUGCGAAGAUGGCUAAAUCUUCCGCUGGAUGUGCCGAUAGCAUUUGUUCAUGCACCCCCAAAAAGUGGAGGUCUCGGAAUUCCAUCACUAAGAUGGGUAGCUCCAAUGUUAAGGCUAAGACGCUUGAGUAACAUUAAAUGGCCUCACCUCACGCAAAACGAGGUAGCCAGCUCUUUCCUCGAAGCCGAAAAACAACGGGC